GACGAACGCUGGCGGCGUGCUUAACACAUGCAAGUCGAACGGAAAGGCCCUGCUUUUGUGGGGUGCUCGAGUGGCGAACGGGUGAGUAACACGUGAGUAACCUGCCCUUGACUUUGGGAUAACUUCAGGAAACUGGGGCUAAUACCGGAUAGGAGCUCCUGCUGCAUGGUGGGGGUUGGAAAGUUUCGGCGGUUGGGGAUGGACUCGCGGCUUAUCAGCUUGUUGGUGGGGUAGUGGCUUACCAAGGCUUUGACGGGUAGCCGGCCUGAGAGAGUGACCGGGAGGAGUGUGAAUAAGAGAGGAGCGGGAGGAAUCGGGGAGGAACAAGGGGGGAGGGGUGCAAGCGGGGCGGGGGCGUGAAGCAGCAAGGGCGGGGGCGGGGUGAUGGGUGACGGGGUGGGAAAAGCAUGCGCCGGUGAAGAAGAGGCAGUGAGGGGAAUGAGUAAAGAAGAAACGGCUCGCUAGGUU
rnacentral:rRNA from 1 species